rnacentral:rRNA from 1 species
UGGGGAAUAUUGGACAAUGGGCGAAAGCCUGAUCCAGCAAUGCCGCGUGAGUGAUGAAGGCCUUAGGGUUGUAAAGCUCUUUUACCCGGGAUGAUAAUGACAGUACCGGGAGAAUAAGCUCCGGCUAACUCCGUGCCAGCAGCCGCGGUAAUACGGAGGGAGCUAGCGUUGUUCGGAAUUACUGGGCGUAAAGCGCACGUAGGCGGCUUUGUAAGUUAGAGGUGAAAGCCUGGGGCUCAACCCCAGAAUUGCCUUUAAGACUGCAUCGCUUGAAUCCAGGAGAGGUGAGUGGAAUUCCGAGUGUAGAGGUGAAAUUCGUAGAUAUUCGGAAGAACACCAGUGGCGAAGGCGGCUCACUGGACUGGUAUUGACGCUGAGGUGCGAAAGCGUGGGGAGCAAACA